UCUGCAACCCGACUACAUGAAGCUGGAAUCGCUAGUAAUCGCAGGUCAGCAUACUGCGGUGAAUACGUUCCCGGGUCUUGUACACACCGCCCGUCACACCAUGGGAGCCGGAAAUGCCCGAAGCCAGUGACCCAACCUUAGGGAGGGAGCUGUCGAAGGUGGAGCCGGUAACUGGGGUGAAGUCGUAACAAGGUAAC
rnacentral:rRNA from 1 species